AUAUUGCAAUUUGCAGCUGUAUAUUAAAUACUUUUAUAAUAUAUAAAUAGUAGAGCUACUAUGCUAUUGAAAAUAUAGAGAAUCUGGUGCUUCCGACUUUUUAGCCUUUAAAUCAGUUUCUUUAAUUAUUUCUAACCUUAAGAUUAACUAUUAUCUUGUGGGGACCACUCAACUCUAAAGAUUCUACUCAAUCCUAGGAAGGACCGCAAUCAUUCCAAUUGUACAAUUCUUGAUCCAAAAGUCAAAAAUUGAAAAUAUCAAAUUCUCUAUACUUUCGAUAGCAUAGUAACUCUAUACUAUAUAUUUAAUCGGAAGUAUAAAGAAUUUGAUGCUUCCGAUUUUUUAACCCUUCCAUCAAGAAUUGUACGGUUGGGAUGAUUGCAAUCCCUCAUAGGGUUGAAUAGUACCCCUAGAUUUAUUUUAUAUAUAUAUAUAUAUAUAUAUAAAAUUGAAUUCCUAUGCUUUUAAGAAUACUAAGUUAUUGGUACUUGUAAAUAUUUGGUCAUUGGAUUAAGGAAUUUGCAGUUAGGAUGAUGCGGACCUCUAGGGUUGGGUGGGUGGUUGGUUGAAUAGUAUGAUCUAACGGGUAGAAAUAAUCAAAGAAAUAGAUCUAAUGAUAAAAAAUUUACAAACACGAAGUAUUUGGUGCUUUUACAAGCACCAUAGCUGAACUCUAUAUACAUAUGCUGGACUAGACUACUAUCGGUAGUAAACGGCUCGGUUUACUAUUGAUUUAUUUUCGAUGUUAGAGCUUUCAAAUCGACAAUCGACAUCAUUAAAUAUGAUCUUGACCAUUUAAACUAUCUAGAAAUUCAAUUUCAUAUCUUUCUGACAUCACUAACCAAAUGAUCAAAAAGUCAUAAAAUCUGUAAUUUUAAUAGUCAAUACAAUAUGUUUGCUUGUUUGCUUGUAGACGGGUAUAGAAGAAAUCCAAAUGAGCAAAAGUUUUAUUAGAAAAUUGUUUAAACUAUUUAAAACAAGAUAUAAAGUAUAGAUCUUAAAUACAAAAAUUAUAUCAUCAUUUUUUAGAAGGUAUUUAUUUUCAGUCAUUCAUUGUCUGUUCACUUGAUGGACAAAAAAAAUAAUAUCGAAAAAGCGUAAAAUUUAAUUUUUAAAUAGUUUAAAUGAUUUAGAUCAUAUUCAACGGUAUUGAUCAUCGAUUUGAAAGCUCUAUCAUCGAAAAUAAAUCAAUAACAAAUUGAACCGUUUAGUACCGAUAAUAUUCUAGUACCUCACACGUACAACAUGGAUUCUGUUUGGUUCAGCUUUUCAAAAUUUUCUAUAAUAAAAAUUUUCCAUUAAA
rnacentral:lncRNA from 1 species